rnacentral:rRNA from 1 species
UCAGUACCGUGAGGGAAAGGCGAAAAGAACCCCGGGAGGGGAGUGAAAUAGAUCCUGAAACCGUGUGCGUACAAGCAGUAGGAGCUCGCAAGAGUGACUGCGUACCUUUUGUAUAAUGGGUCAGCGACUUACUGUUCGUGGCAAGCUUAACCGUAUAGGGGAGGCGAAGGGAAACCGAGUCUGAUAAGGGCGCAUAGUCGCGGGCAGUAGACCCGAAACCGGGUGAUCUAGUCAUGGCCAGGGUGAAGGUGCCGUAACAGGUACUGGAGGCCCGAACCCACGUCUGUUGCAAAAGACGGGGAUGAGCUGUGAUUAGGAGUGAAAAGCUAAUCGAACCCGGAGAUAGCUGGUUCUCCUCGAAAGCUAUUUAGGUAGCGCCUCGGACGAAUACUACUGGGGGUAGAGCACUGUUAUGGCUAGGGGGUCAUCGCGACUUACCAAACCAUUGCAAACUCCGAAUACCAGUACGUACUAUCCGGGAGACACACGGCGGGUGCUAACGUCCGUCGUGAAAAGGGAAACAACCCAGACCCACAGCUAAGGUCCCAAAUUCACUGCUAAGUGGAAAACGAUGUGGAAAGGCAUAGACAGCCAGGAGGUUGGCUUAGAAGCAGCCACCCUUUAAAGAAAGCGUAAUAGCUCACUGGUCGAGUCGGUCUGCGCGGAAGAUUUAACGGGGCUAAGCAGUGAACCGAAGCUUGGGGUGCGUAAAACUUCGGUUUUAUGCGCGGUAGAGGAGCGUUCCGUAAGCCUGCGAAGGUGGAUUGAGAAGUCUGCUGGAGGUAUCGGAAGUGCGAAUGCUGACAUGAGUAACGAUAAUGCGGGUGAAAAGCCCGCACGCCGAAAGCCCAAGGUUUCCUUGCGCAACGUUAAUCGACGCAGGGUUAGUCGGUCCCUAAGGCGAGGGCGAAAGCCGUAGUCGAUGGGAAGCAGGUUAAUAUUCCUGCACCUCGCGUGAGUGCGAUGGAGGGACGGAGAAGGUUAGGUGUACCGGGCGUUGGUUGUCCCGGGGAAAGGCGGUAGGUUUGGAUCUUUGGCAAAUCCGGGAUCCUUUAAGACCGAGCACCGAGACGAGCCUUUAUGGCGAAGUCACUGAUACCACGCUUCCAGGAAAAGCUCCUAAGCUUCAGCUCACGAAGACCGUACCGUAAACCGACACAGGUGGGUAGGAUGAGAAUACUCAGGCGCUUGAGAGAACUCGGGUGAAGGAACUAGGCAACAUGGCACCGUAACUUCGGGAGAAGGUGCGCCGGUGAGGGUGAAGGACUUGCUCCGUAAGCUCAUGCCGGUCGAAGAUACCAGGCCGCUGCGACUGUUUAUUAAAAACACAGCACUCUGCAAACACGAAAGUGGACGUAUAGGGUGUGACGCCUGCCCGGUGCUGGAAGGUUAAUUGAUGGG